rnacentral:rRNA from 1 species
UGAGGGAUAUUGGUCAAUGGGCGCAAGCCUGAACUAGCGACGCCGCGUGGGUGAAGAAGGUCUUCGGAUCGUAAAGCCCUUUUCCCACUGAAGAGGAAGGACGGUAGGUGGGGAAGAAGUCUCGGCUAACUACGUGCCAGCAGCCGCGGUAAAACGUAGGAGACAAGCGUUAUCCGGAGUUACUGGGCGUAAAGGGCGUGCAGGUGGCGUCUUAAGUCUGUUGUGAAAGCGCCUGGCUUAACCGGGCGAGGCCAAUGGAGACUGAGAGGCUGGAGGACGGCGGAGGGGUGUGGAAUUCCGGGUGUAGUGGUGAAAUGCGUAGAGAUCCGGAGGAACACCAGAGGCGAAGGCGGCACUCUAAGCCGUACCUGACACUGAGACGCGACAGCACGGGGAGCAAACG